rnacentral:tRNA from 1 species
GAGGGUACAGCUCAGUGGUAGAGUGCAUGCCUAGCAUGCAUGAGGUCCUGGGCUCAAUCCCCAAUACCUCCA